rnacentral:rRNA from 1 species
CGACCGGCGCACGGGUGAGCAAUACGUAUCCAACCUGCCUCAUACUCGGGGAUAGCCUUUCGAAAGAAAGAUUAAUAUCCGAUAGCAUAUAUUUCCCGCAUGGGUUUUAUAUUAAAGAAAUUCGGUAUGAGAUGGGGAUGCGUUCCAUUAGAUAGUAGGCGGGGUAACGGCCCACCUAGUCAACGAUGGAUAGGGGUUCUGAGAGGAAGGUCCCCCACAUUGGAACUGAGACACGGUCCAA